AAUGAACGCUGGCGGCAGGCCUAACACAUGCAAGUCGAACGAGUGGCGGACGGGUGAGUAAUGGCUGGGAAACUGCCAGAUGGAGGGGGAUAAAUACUGGCAACGGUAGCUAAUACCGCAUCCCAUCGGAUGUGCCCAGAUGGGAUUAGCUAGUAGGUGGGGUAACGGCUAACCUAGGCGACGAUCCCUAGCUGGUCUGAGAGGAUGACCUGCCACACUUGACCUGAGACACGGUCCAGACUCCUACGGGAGUGAGCAGUGGGGAAGAUUGCACAAUGGGCUCAAUCCUGAUGCAGCCAUGCCGCUUGUAUGAAGAAGGCCUUCGGGUUGUAAAGUACUUUCAGCGGGGAGGCGUUACCCGCAGAAGAAGCACCGGCUAACUCCGUGCCAGCAGCCGCGGUAAUAC
rnacentral:rRNA from 1 species